rnacentral:rRNA from 1 species
CCUACGGGAGGCAGCAGUGGGGAAUAUUGCACAAUGGGGGAAACCCUGAUGCAGCGACGCCGCGUGAGUGAAGAAGUAUUUCGGUACGUAAAGCUCUAUCAGCAGGGAAGUAAAUGACGGUACCUGACUAAGAAGCCCCGGCUAACUACGUGCCAGCAGCCGCGGUAAUACGUAGGGGGCAAGCGUUAUCCGGAUUUACUGGGUGUAAAGGGAGCGUAGACGGCAGCGCAAGUCUGGAGUGAAAUCCCAUGGCUUAACCAUGGAACUGCUUUGGAAACUGUGCAGCUAGAGUGCAGGAGAGGUAAGCGGAAUUCCUAGUGUAGCGGUGAAAUGCGUAGAUAUUAGGAGGAACACCAGUGGCGAAGGCGGCUUACUGGACUGUAACUGACGUUGAGGCUCGAAAGCGUGGGGAGCAAACAGGAUUAGAUACCCCUGUAGUC